ACUGCCUGAUGGCGGGGGAUAACUACUGGAAACGGUAGCUAAUACCGCAUAACGUCGCAAGACCAAAGAGGGGGACCUUAGGGCCUCUUGCCAUCGGAUGUGCCCAGAUGGGAUUAGCUAGUAGGUGGGGUAACGGCUCACCUAGGCGACGAUCCCUAGCUGGUCUGAGAGGAUGACCAGCCACACUGGAACUGAGACACGGUCCAG
rnacentral:rRNA from 1 species